UACGUAGGGGGCAAGCGUUGUCCGGAUUUAUUGGGCGUAAAGAGCGUGUAGGCGGCCAGGUAGGUCCGCUGUGAAAACUCGAGGCUCAACCUCGAGAUGUCGGCGGAAACCAUCUGGCUAGAGUCCGGAAGAGGAGAGUGGAAUUCCUGGUGUAGCGGUGAAAUGCGCAGAUAUCAGGAAGAACACCCGUGGCGAAGGCGGCUCUCUGGGGACGGUACUGACGCUGAGACGCGAAAGCGUGGGGAGCGAACAGG
rnacentral:rRNA from 1 species